rnacentral:lncRNA from 1 species
GAGGCAUGGAUGGUAUCAGGCAAGUGGAGGGGGGUGCCUGUGGUCAGGGGGCCGGGCAUGGCAUGCACUUAAUUUGUUGGCACUAGGGGCGCUGAGGUGACUGAGGCCAUUGUCAUGUGCACAGCCUGGGCAAUGGCUUUCCUUGGUUGGAAGGCUGACUGUACUGACUCUGCUUGCUGUUGAAGGUCUGGAACUUCAG